rnacentral:rRNA from 1 species
AGUGAACGCUGGCGGUAGGCCUAACACAUGCAAGUCGAACGGCAGCACAGUAAGAGCUUGCUCUUACGGGUGGCGAGUGGCGGACGGGUGAGGAAUACAUCGGAAUCUACUUUUUCGUGGGGGAUAACGUAGGGAAACUUACGCUAAUACCGCAUACGACCUACGGGUGAAAGCAGGGGAUCUUCGGACCUUGCGCGAUUGAAUGAGCCGAUGUCGGAUUAGCUAGUUGGCGGGGUAAAGGCCCACCAAGGCGACGAUCCGUAGCUAGUCUGAGAGGAUGAUCCGCCACACUGGAACUGAGACACGGUCCAGACUCCUACGGGAGGCAGCAGUGGGGAAUAUUCGACAAUGGGCGCAAGCCUGAUCCAGCCAUACCGCGUGGGUGAAGAAGGCCUUCGGGUUGUAAAGCCCUUUUGUUGGGAAAGACAAGCAGCAGGUUAAUACCCCGCUGUUCUGACGGUACCCAAAGAAUAAGCACCGGCUAACUUCGUG